rnacentral:misc_RNA from 1 species
CAGAGUUGCAAAACUCCCCUAAACCAUUGUGAACCUACCACUAAACAGUUGCUUCGGCGGGUCGGGCCCCCACCUCCCUCACCGGGGAGGGGAGGGCCCCUAAGACCGCCCGCCGGAGGUUAACCAAAACUCUUGUUCAACUAAAAGGCCUCUCUGAGUUAACUGUACUUAAAAUAAGUCA